UCUCUCUGAAAAAUAAAAACCCAACUCUCCCGUCUCUCUCUCUCUCUCUCAAACACCGCUUCCGAUCCCCUCCCGGCUGCUACCCUGACCUCUCCGCCUCAGCCUCCUCUCCUCUCCUGUCCAAACCCUGAACCAAAUUCACCUACCUCCUCCUCUCCCUUGAAAACCCUAACCCUAAUUCGCUCGCCUCCCUUCCCCGCAAAUCCCUAACCCUAAUUCCGCCGCCUCCUACUCUUCUAACUGCCUCUUCUCUCCACCACAAGCUCCGCAGCCCCUCCUUCUUUCUCUUACAUCUCUCUCCCCAAAAUUCCCCAAAAUCCACGUCGUCGUCACCAGUAGGAGCGCGCCGCCGCCUCCUUCUCCUCUAGCAGUUCUUCGGCCGCUGCCUCGUCCUCCAUCUUAGACAUCCAAGCUCAUUGGUGAAGGUGGUUUGCUUGUAGGAUUUGCUGAAUUAAGGGAAUUGUUGAAGGGAGAUUGGAGUGGUCGGCCGGUGAUUGAGCAGAACACUUGUUAUCGGAUGUAGUGGAACACGACACUCAGGUGUGAAGGGUGGAGGUCCAGAGCUGAUGAGGAGACUGUGGAUGGGGAAGUAAAAUGUGAAAAGUGGAUUCAGGAUGAUGAUAACCAAUCAUAGGAAUCUAAAACAACAUGGUGGUUGAACAGAUUAAUUGGGCGAACAAAGAAGGUCUCUUUUGAUUGGCCAUACCCAUUUGUUGAGGGGAUUUGUUCUUGAGGAUGCUACUGGUUUAUUUAUUGGAAUAUGGUGUACGUACUGUCUCAGCAAAGUAUAUAAUGAAGUGUGAUGAUGACACAUUUGUUAGGAUUGAUUCAGUGAUGAAAGAAGUCAAUAAAAUUCCAAAGGGUGCAAGCUUAUACGUGGGGGAUAUAAACUAUUACCAAAAGUCUUUGCGCUCUGGGAAAUGGGCUGUGACGUAUGAGGUCAUUGACAGAUAAAAUGAUGUCUAUAGCUUUGGGUUGUCGUGUUGGAGCUGAUAACUUCAAAGCAGCCGAUAGAGAAGGGGAAAUACAUUGUUCGUGAGGUGAGAAUGGCAAUGGAUAGUGAAGAUUCAAGCCAGUCUUUUGGAGAGAAGACAUGCCUCUCAAACUCGUAUGGAAGACAACUCAAGAUGAUGUUAUAAUUUGAUACUCUUGACAAGAAUCACGAAGAAUGGUUAGAAUUAGAUAAUUGAUAGAUUUUUCAAUUCCGAUUCUCUAUGUUUCUGGUGUGUAAUCUGUUGCAUGAUGAUCAUCUCUAUAUAGGUCUUGAGUAUUUGUGCAUAA